AAAAGUGAAAUAUUGGGAAAGGGUAGGUUUCCAUGUCAAAUUUGAGGGUAAUAGGUCUUAUUGUAUCCCCAAAUUGCAUUAAAUCCUGAGAAUAUGACCAUUUUCAAAUGCGAAACUGUGGGGUCAUGACCUCUUGUUGUUGUUGUGUUCUUUGUUACUCAGGAAGGAAAACUGCGGUAGGCAUAUUGUAUUUUGGGUUCUUUUUAAGCUGGAAUCGCUAGUAGGGUCACGCUGUGAAUUAUUGCGCGAAAACCACCUGGAUACCUGGUAUUUAUUCAUGGUUUGAUGGGUUGUGCUAUGUUUUGCGUGUAAAAAUAUCAUUCCAAAAGCAGGCUAUCAUUACGUUUCAUUCGUCCCCAGCCACUUUCGUACAUGGUAAAAAGUUGAUUUUGAAGCCCCUUUUUGCGGCCUUGUCAUUCUUUCACUUUUGUCAAUAGUAUCACCUGUACAGGUUCCAUAUGCUCUUUUUUUAUCUUAAAUGUAAGUUUCAGACUACUUGUGUGCAGUGAAUGUGUUUUUAUGAUUGCAGGUUCAUUGUUUUCUGAAUUGAGCGUGGUGGAGAUCAAGAAGGCGUCCGCGGCUCCGAGAGAGUGUGUGUCUACCGUGGUCUGCUACCUUAAGUGGUUCAUUGUUUUCUGAAUUGAGCGUGGUGGAGAUCAAGAAGGCGUCCGCGGCUCCGAGAGAGUGUGUGUCUACCGUGGUCUGCUACCUUAAGUGGUUCAUUGUUUUCUGAAUUGAGCGUGGUGGAGAUCAAGAAGGCGUCCGCGGCUCCGAGAGAGUGUGUGUCUACCGUGGUCUGCUACCUUAAGUGGUUCAUUGUUUUCUGAAUUGAGCGUGGUGGAGAUCAAGAAGGCGUCCGCGGCUCCGAGAGAGUGUGUGUCUACCGUGGUCUGCUACCUUAAGUGGUUCAUUGUUUUCUGAAUUGAGCGUGGUGGAGAUCAAGAAGGCGUCCGCGGCUCCGAGAGAGUGUGUGUCUACCGUGGUCUGCUACCUUAAGUGGUUCAUUGUUUUCUGAAUUGAGCGUGGUGGAGAUCAAGAAGGCGUCCGCGGCUCCGAGAGAGUGUGUGUCUACCGUGGUCUGCUACCUUAAGUGGUUCAUUGUUUUCUGAAUUGAGCGUGGUGGAGAUCAAGAAGGCGUCCGCGGCUCCGAGAGAGUGUGUGUCUACCGUGGUCUGCUACCUUAAGUGGUUCAUUGUUUUCUGAAUUGAGCGUGGUGGAGAUCAAGAAGGCGUCCGCGGCUCCGAGAGAGUGUGUGUCUACCGUGGUCUGCUACCUUAAGUGGUUCAUUGUUUUCUGAAUUGAGCGUGGUGGAGAUCAAGAAGGCGUCCGCGGCUCCGAGAGAGUGUGUGUCUACCGUGGUCUGCUACCUUAAGUGGUUCAUUGUUUUCUGAAUUGAGCGUGGUGGAGAUCAAGAAGGCGUCCGCGGCUCCGAGAGAGUGUGUGUCUACCGUGGUCUGCUACCUUAAGUGGUAAAUGACAAAUUUUUGUUUACACAGCCUGCCUGUGAAAUGUAUUUUUUUAAGCUUUUGUACUAACGUGCAGUGUGAAAAUGGGCUUUGGAGAGCUUAGUUUUCACAAUUUGGAUGUAAAUAACUGAUCUGAAAAAGGGAGGUAAUUCAAAUAUUAAAAAAUGGCUAUUUUCAGCUGGAAUCCGAAAAAAGCUCUUACAGUGAUUUCGCUGUCCGACCUCCAGUUUGUUAUUAUUUUAUCACGUUACUCUUACUGUAACAUGUUAUUUGAGUGUUUCUCAUGUUCUUAUUGUCUUAUGUAUACUUGAACAGUUGUAUUAAUGUAAGAAAAUGAGCCAAAUAGACAAAAAUCAAGAAAAUUAGCACCCCGAAGGCUGAAAAAUCAACUAUUUUUCUCAAAAAUUAGGUCCAGACAUGUUGGGAAAGGUAUCGGCGGUGCAAGUAAGAUGUAUAUAAGCAUGAGCAGAGUGUUUAAAUGGUUUCCAAAAGGUUCCAGGAGACAUUUAAAGUGUGUCUCUCUUGGAACUCUGAAAGCAUGAA